rnacentral:rRNA from 1 species
GCAUAACGCGAAGAACCUUACCAGGUCUUGACAUCCCACUGACCGUCCUAGAGAUAGGGUCUUCCCGUUCGGGGCAGUGGUGACAGGUGGUGCAUGGUUGUCGUCAGCUCGUGUCGUGAGAUGUUGGGUUAACGUCCCGCAACGAGCGCAACCCUUAUCUUUAGUUGCCAGCAUUCAGUUGGGCACUCUAGAGAGACUGCCGUCGACAAGACGGAGGAAGGCGGGGAUGACGUCAAAUCAUCAUGCCCCUUAUGACCUGGGCUACACACGUGCUACAAUGGCUGGUACAACGGGAUGCUAACUCGCGAGAGUACGCCAAUCUCUUAAAACCAGUCUCAGUUCGGAUUGCAGGCUGCAACUCGCCUGCAUGAAGUCGGAAUCGCUAGUAAUCGCAAAUCAGAACGUUGCGGUGAAUACGUUCCCGGG